GCGUUGUUCGGAUUUACUGGGCGUAAAGGGCGCGUAGGCGGUAAUUCAAGUCAGUUGUGAAAUCUCCGAGCUUAACUCGGAACGGUCAACUGAUACUGUUUUACUAGAGUACAGAAGGGGCAAUCGGAAUUCUUGGUGUAGCGGUGAAAUGCGUAGAUAUCAAGAGGAACACCUGAGGUGAAGACGGGUUGCUGGGCUGAUACUGACGCUGAGGCGCGAAAGCUAG
rnacentral:rRNA from 1 species